CACCACCUCCUUUUCCCCUUCCCUCCCACACAAUAACUGGGAUGACUUGUCUAGAUCUUAGGCAACAAUUCUCUUAGCACAUCAGCUCCUGGAAACAAAUGCACUUAACCAGAAAAACAGGGACAUCAACCAGCAAAGAUGCAUCCUCAUUUAAUAGAGCUUGAAAUUACUAUAAUCUGUAAAGUACAGCGAGAAGAAGAAGUUUCACCUGCCUGCACAUCUGUCGUUGACUCUCCAUCUGACUUGGAGGGACUCUGAGGGACCAACCUGAGCCUGAGAAGAGGCAAGAUUCCCCUUCAAGGACACACUGGGAACUUACGGACCUCUUUCUCCAUGGUGCAGAGCGCAGAGGCUACCUUACGUGGCAAAAGAGACUGUGAAGAUGUGACUGAG
rnacentral:lncRNA from 10 species